CCCUUAGAUGUCCUGGGCUGCACGCGCGCUACACUGAUGUGUCCAGUAAGCACCUAACCUCUUCCGAAAGGAACGGGUAACCUUUGCAAAGCACAUCGUGAUGGGGAUAUAUUAUUGCAAUUAUUAGUCUUGAACGAGGAAUUCCUAGUAAGCACAAGUCAUCAGCUUGUGUUGAUUACGUCCCUGCCCUUUGUACACACCGCCCGUCGCUCCUACCGAUUGAAUGUUCCGGUGAGCUCUUCGGACUGCGCGGUCUGCAGUUUCUGCGUUCCGUGCGGAAAGUUGCGCAAACCUUAACAUUUAGAGGAAGGAGAAGUCGUAACA
rnacentral:rRNA from 1 species